rnacentral:lncRNA from 1 species
CUCUUUUCACUAGCCAACCUUAAUAUUCAUUUACAAUAGUAUUACAAACCAACAUUGAAUGAAUUACAUUAAUAGAUAAAGAAAAAUAUGAAGUUACUCUUUAGGAAGCUUGCAAGUAGGCCCAGAUUUCCAAAACCUCAACUGCUUAGAUUGUUUCAUAGCCUUUCUCAAUAUCCGGGUGUGUGUUCCGUGAGGACCUCAAGGGAUUCCCCGUAGUGCUUACACCCGGAUUUCACAAUCAUAUUUUUGAGUAAGUGCAGUGUGAAAAAGUCAACUCUAAUGUAUCAGAGUUUAGAGGGAUCUCAUAGGGAUCCCUAAGCAGUCACAUAUUGGAAGGACUAGAACUUAAGGACCUAAGAGUAGUGUGAGAGUGCUUGAAAUAGUUUUGAAAAGGUUUGAAUGAAAACAAUGUUGAAAGAGACUAGGUUGAAAUAGUUUUAUAUAAUAAAUAUAGUUGUUUAGUAAAACAGCUUUUGAAAACAGUUGUGUAAUUAAACAAACAGCAGGUCAAUCAACAAGUUUAGCAACACUCAGAGAACAAACCUUCACACUGGGUCAAUUGGGGGUUGGGGACAAAUAGAGCAUGUAUGGUGAACACAUAACAUAUAGAUGUCCUUUGUGCUUGGUGCAGGUAGUAAGACAUAGAUUCAGGAGUGUUAAUUAGAACACAGUUAUAGAACCAGAGAUGCUUAAGGGGUUCAGUAUAGGAUCAACAUUUUUAAAAUCAAUCCCAGGAUCAUACAAGUUUAGGAGUGCAUACUGCUUUACAAGGAGAUUCAUACCAGAAAUCAGAUAGAGCAAGAUCACACAGAGACAGACUACAUAGAGAGGGAUAACAUGUUCAUACUGAUCCUAAGGAAGGGGAGUACAUAACAUGCUAAUAAUAUAAACAUAUCAACUACAGGUUCACAGCAAACCCAUAAGUAAAAGCAGACUAGAAACAGAAUGAAUUAAAGUAAUCAAAGGACCAUAUUGUUUUUGGAACUUGAAUUGAAAUCAGAACAUACCAGUAAAGAAGGUAGUAAACACAAAGUGAGGAGCAAGAGAGUAGAUUAAUCAGCCUUGGCUUGCAGCCGACUGAAUUAGAGCAAUAACAAGUAACAAGAGAAAAGAGAGCAGAAAGGCGCUUUUGUGUAAGAGAGAGUUUUUGAACCAAUGUGUUCGUGUUAAUGAGAGAGUAUGUAUAUAUAGUUUGAAACUAAGUAGAAUAAUAAGGUAAGAAUCAAAGUCAAGCAGUAAUUAUGGGGACUAUGUACUAAUUAGAAUCAAAUUAGUAUAAGUACUUCCUUUAAUUAAGGAAGGAAAUCACAUAAGGCUGAAUAUAACAAAUAAGAAAAUAUUUUCAGCAUAGUACAAGUACACAACAUGUUAUAGAGACUAGGUUCAGCAGAUUCUAAUCAAGGAAAAUACUUAAGAAUCCGUUGACAACAUGCUCGACCAUAGAUUAAGGUAAGAAGAUAUAUUAAAGGUUAAAAUCCAUAGAGAAUAUCACAAGAAAUCAGUAAAGGAUCAGCCACAGAGAUUCAAAGACUCAAAAUAGCAAAUAGUACUGAUUUAGGAGAAAUUGAUACAAAUUUAUGAGAAAAAGCGAAAUAAACACACAAUAGGCAAGAAUAAAAAUCCUAAUAAGCCAAAUAGGGUAAAAUCACACAAAAUUAGGGAUUCACAUAGAGCAUAGCAUGCAUUAAUAUAAUAAACAUGACAUAAGUAAAAGAAGUAAAGGUCAGAGACACUGAUGAACAAAAUAGGGUAAAACCACAGAGAAUCAUAAGGCUCAUGAGAAACAAGCACAUAUACAAAUUAAGCGAACAUAUUAUCACAAAACAAACUCAGAACUCAGGAUUAAAACCAAGAUACUUAGGGUUUUCAAACUAUUAACUCAGAUAAAAAGAGAAAAUUCAAAUAAACUAACAUAGCGAAAAGCAUAGAUUAAUACUAAAAUCAAAAGGAAAAGCCAUUUUGAAAAGGGAUUAAGAAACCCUGGUUUGAAUAUGAAGAGUCGUUUUAGAAAAAUCAGAAAAUCUUUAAGGAAAACAACAAAAUAACUCGGAAUAUACCCAGAUCUAUUACAGUUCUAAGAAAUUAAGAGCUAAUAGUUAGGAUUUCAGAGAGAUAACCCAAAGAGAAAUAGAAUCGACCUAGAAACCACAGGUUCUAGCAGGAGAUGGCAGGAUCUUACUCAGACAUGCCAAUGACAUGAAAAACCAUGGGGGUGAGUCUAACUGCCUCUGAUCGUUUGAGUACCUCAAGGCAGUAGUAACCCAGCGUAGGAAGGAGCCAUAGGGACUGGGAUGGUGGUGAGACCACCAUAGUUAUCGGCGAGCCAAAGGCCGGUAAGAGUAGAGUACGGUUUAGCAGAGAGAGGGCUUUGAGAGAGAUGAGAGGAUGUAUGAUGGAGAGAAAU